CUGGGCUGAAUGGUGGAUGUUCUGUAGGAAAGCAGAGUUACAGAUCAGCAAAGAAAGUCUGAUGAUUCAACAUGUAGUCGGUUGCUCUCACGUUCACACCAAAGGUACCGAACUUAUAUGGAAGACCCUAAGUGGUAAGACCCAUGCCUACUGGAAAUGGAAUCUUCUGCUUCUGGGAACUUCUCUGCUCCACAAACAGUCACGCCCUGGAUCUGCAGACUGCCAUCAACACCUGCUCUCCUGCAGUGCCUGGUGCUCCAGAAACCCCAGGCUGCCCGUUGUGAGGCCAGGGAUGCGCAGCUUUCCCAGAGCCAGGCAUUUUACAUUGUUUGUAGUCUGCAUUUUGGAGUCAUUACUCAGUGGUACAAGAGAUGCAAUUGUCACUGCGGUUGGAAGCCAAUCAACGCGUUGUGAGUGGGAGCCCGCUGGUACUUUCCAAUGGUCCUUGAUUAAAAAGGAAGCUCUUGGCUAUCUUCAAGCAGCAGGAGAGGAAACAGCACGGAGAAGAUACUCAGAUGCAGCGGAAUUCAAGCAUGAAACUAAACAGCUUCUCAGAUAUUAUCUAUUCAGCCAUCUGCUUGACAGACAAUGGAUAACCUUCCAGAUUCAUGGAGCUGCAUCUGCCUUUUAAUCCAGUGGUAGUCUCCAUGGAAAUAAACAGGAGGCAUUACUUUUGGAGCAACCCAUGUAUAUGUGGCCCAGAACCAUUCCUCUUCACUCAAUACAGCUCAGACAAGCCAAAAGGUUGGAUAGCCAUGCUCUAAGGCUUCUGCUCAUCCAGAAGAGACUGCAGGGACUUCAGGUGAUCUUCGCCUCCUGCUGAACCAGAUAGGUAAAAAGGGAAAAGGUUAUAUUCUGAUAUCAUCAGGAGCAAUAUUGGGCAACUUAGGACCUCCUAUAUUUGGCCUAUGACUUUUGCAGGAAGAUCUCCACCCUCCUCCAACAAGAAGUACACUGCCAUCCCUCCUAAAUCCAGGACUCGCAUCAAAAACAGACUGAUGGGAUGCUGUUGUGACAAGAGGAGAGGACAGGAUUGCCCACUGGAUGAGGAGUUGUGGAGCAGUACUCAAGGAAAUCCCAUCGAUCAGACCGAUUCAGCAGAGGUAUGAUUGGCAUCACAUUCAGAAUAAGGACACUGAUAUUUACAACCAUGUAUUCUCCUCCAACUAUUUUUAUCUGAGGUUGCCUACACCAGAAGUGCUUAAGCCAAGAAGGUGCAGGAAUUUUUGGGGUUCUCCCAAUAAAUUCCUGUUUUGUCUCUCUCCUUCAGUUUGAAAUGGUGCUUAUAGACAGAAGCACAUCCAAGUGAAGACUGCUUAACUUGAAGGAAGCAAAUGGCCCUGUGUCUAGAAUAUCCCCUUUAAUGGGUUAAAACCCUCUUUCUGGACUGACAUAGUUAUCCUCUAGGAUGGUUCCAACACUGCACCAUUCAUCCUACACCCCACCAUCACUGUAUACUUUCAGGCCAGGCACUCAAAUACCAGAGAAUCACCUGUUCUUACUUUUCUUCUACCCAGAGCUUUUUUCUUCAUCAAUGACACCAGAUUCUGUACAACUCUCCACUGUGACAGCUUUGUACAAAUGGGAAUCCAUAGCAAAUGUGAGCAUAACCUGCAACAGAGUGAAGCCCAAACCAAACAAGUAAACCAACCAACCAAACAAGAAACCCACAUAUUUUUCAGCAAUGGGAGAGAAGGCGAGAAAAUAUUUACCUUAUUCUCCCUCCAUGCUUGUUUCACUCACAUUAGAGUAGAUUUCCCCUUUCCGGAUUGUCUCGUGCAUAAAAUACACCCAAGUUUCAUGAGCUGUGUAUGUGCCUAUACAAGUGGAGUGCACAAGCUCUGCUGGCUGUGCUGGUGGGGAGUCCUGGCACUGAGUAGUGGCUCUGGGUCAAAACUGUGGAGAGGGCACCAGAAAUUAAUAUAGAUCAUCUUUUUCAUAAUGUUAGAGAGUGCCACCAGUGUUUGGUGGCUCAGUUUGCUCCAUGAAACUGUGGUUGGGGCUGCUUUGCAUCCACCUGCUGAUUACUCCACUCUUCCCCUUUCCCCAUUAGGAGAGAAAAAGAUUAAAUUCCCAUUAAUUAAAAGCUAAUUGAUGACAAGAUGACAACACUAAUGUAGAAGCUCAUGGUCCUGAGUAACAAGAUGCUAAAUAUCACCAGUUCAAUUUAAAAAGACAGCAUCAAUGUUAGCCUGAUAACUAGAGAAACAAUCUUGCUAACUGUGGGAAAUGACUCAAAGGCCUGGCUUGGUUGUCAUAGGAGGAUGGGAUGAGACCCCACAGCACCCAGUGGGUGCAACCCAGCCUGUUGUGCUCCCCCAAGCCCUGCACUGCCGUGGCACUGUGCACACCUGGCUGUGCGCAUGAAGCCAAAUCCCUGCGAGGACGACGGAUGCUGUGCACAGGACUGGGGCCUGGCUGGCUCUGUUGGGGCAGGGCGUGCUCAGAAGCAGCCUGUCCUGAACAUACCAUGGGGGCCAGCCACAUUUGUAGGCUCUGGCACAGGCACUGGCAGCACAUCCAGUCUGCUUUGCUGGCCUGAGCAUGCAGCCCUCCUCCUGGGCAGGGACAGGCAUGGCAGCAGUGCCUAUGUUCUGUUGGAGCAGCUUUGCUUGAGCUCUCUCAAGCCCUCAAGGGGAGGAAGCCUGUCUCACCAGCAGGGGAUGGGACAGCAAACUGCUGUGCUGCUGAUGGCCUCACACCCCUCCUGCCUCCACCACCAGCUCUGGGAUCAGCACGUGCUGCAGCAGUUGUGCACCCAGCCCCCACAUCACUGCCCUGAGACAGAGAUCUGUUACCUGAUGGUAGAAGCUCUGAAGGGCUGAGAUUAAUUAAAGGAUUAAUUGAAAUCCAUUCUUUUCUUGAAUUCUUCUUCUUCUUCUUCUUUUAUUUAUUUAUUUAUUUUCCCUGCUUCUUUUUGCUGUGAAUCUCCAUUCUUGGCUGGCAGUGCUUCCAGCAGUUGGGAACUGGAAUUAUGGAGUAGAGAAGGCUAAAUGCAAUCCAAACCCAGGAAGUCAGUUUGGAUCAUAAAUCUGCCAAGCCAUUAUGGAAUCACAGUAUGGUUUGAGUAGGAAGGGACCUUUGAUAGUCAUUGAAACCAACCCCCUGCCAUGGGCAGGGACAUCUUCCAUGAGAGCAGACUGCCCAGGGCUCCAUCCAGCCUGGCCCUGAGCACUGCCCGAGAUGGGGCACCCACAGCUUCCCUGGGCAACUUAUCAAGCCAUCCAAGGAAGCAGAGAGAAAGAAACCUAAGGGAAGGUGCCAGCAGAGCACUGCAAAUAAAAUCAAAGGAGAAGACAGAUUAAAUGUGUUCUGCGUAAUGCAGGCUUGGUUUCAUUCAAGUCCAUUUUGUAAGCAAGAUUUCAUGUUUCCUCUGAGUCUAAAAAUUAAAGCUUGAUGGAGCUAGUCUGGGUGAGACUUGUGGCUUUCUUCAUGAUUUUAUUGUGCUAAAAAUGAUCAUAAAACCGCAAGAACACCUUUUUCAGCAGAACUGCCUCUCUUUAGAAGACCCAUUACAGCACAUGUAAUAACAGAGCCGUGCAUCAGCUCUGCCGUAGGACCUGAGAAGAGGCCUGUGCUGGGACAAAACGGACCCACAGAGCUGAGCUCUGCUGUGAAGUGGGAGCACAGAGGCCCUCAGCACUCUCUGCUUCACCUGAGAAGUAUUCUGGGGGCAGCCAUGCAGAAAGAGGAGUGCUGAGCACCUGCAGGCCCCCCCUAAGGACAGAUCUCUGCAGACAGACCAAGGGAGGAUCAUCUAUCCUGCACUCAGCAGGCACAACGAUGCUGGGUCCUACCAGGAAAUGUGCUCUGACACACAGCAGCAACAAGGUUUGAACACUUUUUCCUUCGUUUCCGGGGUUUUGUGUCUCAUGCCAGGAGCUGAGAGUGGAUGGAAAGUGGGGUGCUGUGGUUUUGCUGGUCCAUUCGGGCAGCUUCUGAUGGCUGUGGGAAUUAUCACGUACUGCUUUCGUGGUAGCACUGCGUAAAUGUCAAAUAGUUAUAUAUUAUUUUAUAAAUAUCCUUCAGAGACAGGAUUGAAAGUGGCUUCAGAGCUGUUCCCCGAGGGAUUUGGUCACUGUCUUACAGACAAGAAAAGAACUGCUGGGCUGGGACUUUGCCAUGACCAGGCAGCACCCCUGGGACUCUCGCAAGCUGCUCUGAUCUAAUCCUCAUGAAGCCUGACCCUUCCUUUCAAAUGAAACCUAAUCCAUCACCCCCUGAUUGUGCAAAACAUUAUCCGCUGACAAAUGCGGUGAUAGCGGUGCUAAUAGAAGCCUGAUGGAUGGCCAGGGCUGGGACUGCAGCUCUCCUGCCCAGCGACUCCUACCUGAGCUUCAGCAUCUGUGAGCAGGAGCUGGGAGAAGAGCAGUUUUUCUGGAGCUGCCCCAUACAGCCCAGCAUUUUGGCCGGUCUGUGCCAUGCCCUCCCUUCCCAGGUCUGCUAUGGGAAGGACUGCAGCCAGGCAGGGCUGCCUUCAGCUGCUGAGCUCCAAGCUCUGUUGUUUUCAUCCAGCCCAGCACGAAGGCGUAAGCUUUCCUAUUAGCUUUUAUUGUUAUUGUUAUUAUCUAAAUCGUGCAAGAAAAAGCAUUCACUGACCUAGUCUGCAAUAAACUAUAAGUGGUUCUGAAGACCAUGAAGAUGGACAACACGAGGCAGAAGUGCUGCACGCUCUGUUGAGUUUUUCAUUAGGAUUUUUCUCUCCCCCUGUCUAUUUCUCACACCCACUGGAUUAUGAAUUUACAUGCAUUAUAAUGAGAAUAACUACAAUCAUGAUAGAUAGGAUUUUUUUUUUUAAAUCUUUAUGUAAAAAGCUACGGAACAUAAGCGAGCUGUCGAAGUUUGAAGGAAUCAGCCCCAUUUUGGUCAUACACUUUCAUAUUUCUUGUUUUGGGGAUGCAGAGUGAGUCUGGGCUGCAAUCUAAAUUCUGCGGGGAGUUGUGGUUGACGGAAAUAAACCAUGUGUUGAGGGUGCCACGUGAGCUGAACAUAAACAUGAAUUAAACCCUGCAACUGUGAAGGAACCAGGACUGCUGCAAAACUGGUGCUAAAAACAUAAAUUUAAAGCCUAAAAUAAUGGAUUGGAAGCCGGUUUAAUUGCCUCAAUAAAGGGGUAACAUGAAAGUUAUGGGUGUCAGAGCAGAUUAAAUGUACCUCAGAAAUCAGAAUAUGCUGUUGAUGCAUGAUGGAUGAAUGACAGAAGCCUGAAAGAGGCUAUUACAUCGACACAGUUGUAUAGAAAAUGUGGUUUAGUGGUUAAAAAGGGUGAGUGGAAGGCAGGGGCUCUUGCUGGGGCACAGCAGCUUCUUGCAUUGCAGUGUGAGCUUGGGCUGAAGCUUCUUUGUUGGGUUUGUUGAGUGGGAGCACCUUGCUCAGUGCCUGGGUGCUGUGCAACCUUGUUAGUAGGGCUGGAAAUCAACCUGCUCUUUGGAACGCAUCAUAUGCUAGUUAGGGCACUCAGUGCUAACACCCUUCUGUUGGCAAUGGAGCACAGGCUGGGUGUCCCCACACAGCACUGAACGUAGAUGUGCAUGUGAGACAGCAGAUAGCUCACCUAGCUUUGGGCACCUACACCUGCAUUCAGCACUUAGGCUCCUUUUGCAGUCAACAAGGAAAAUACUCCCAGCCAUUUCUGGACUGCAGUUCAUCUCACUGCUUUUAGACCUAAGCAUGGCUAUGAGAGGGGAAACCGCUAAGGAAUGGCUGCAUGGGUUUCCCAAGAGGGCACACCAAUAAGUAUAUUAGGGCAUACAGUGGAGACAUCAGUAUUAACAUGUGGGGCUAUGCCAGUGUGGUGAGACACAGCAGAUAGGCUGAAUUCAGCUGCGUGUAGAUGAGUGCAGGACAGUGCUUGCCCACAGGGAUCCUGCUCUGCCUGCACUGUGAAUGAAUGAAAAAAUGGCUCAUGCAAGCACUGCAUGCCGAAAUCAUUGCAGGCACUUCCUCGGUGUUGCAAAACAGGAGCCGUGACUGUGCGGCUCCUGCGGUCUGUCUGCAGGUGAAGGAUGGCUGUCAGCACUGUCUGCAGCGGCUGCGGCGCAGUGGCACUUAGUCGAUAGGAGGUGACAAGGGCUCGCGGAAGGGAUGGAGUGUCACCACGCUGGCAGGCAGAGGCAGACAAACGAGAGGCUUUGAGACAAAGUGCGGCUGCCAAAUUCAUAGCGAUUUUUCUAAUAAGGUUGUGGCCAGCAGCAGGAGCACUGGGAAGGACUUGUGCCACGCAAAAAAAAAAAAAAAGCUUCCGUGCUAUCGCCCAUUUCCAGAAGGGGAGCGCUUUGGCCCAGCGCUGAUUUUCCAGGAAAAAAAGAAAACAAAUUUCCCUCCCAGCAGAAGAAUCACAGAAUGGCCCAGGCUGGAAGGGACCUCAAGGAUCAUGAAGCUCCGACCCCCCCGCCACAGGCAGGGCCACCAACCUCCCCCUUUAAUCCCAGCCCAGGCUGCCCAGGGCCCCAUCCAACCUGGCCUUGAACACCUCCAGGGAUGGGGCAUCCACAGCCUCUCUGAGCAGCUGUUCCAGCACCUCACCACUCUCAUAGUAAAGAACUUACCCCUGACAUCCAAUGUAAAUCUUCUCUCCUUCAACGUAAAACCAUUUCCCCUUGUCCUGCUGUUAUCUAUCUUCUCAAGAGUUGAAAAGAGCACACCUACAAAACCAGGUGAGUCUGAAUGUGCAUUGGUGGCUCAGAAACAAAUGGUGAUGUGAUGAGGAGGAUCAUACCACUUGGAUGGACCAAACCACACACAGCUGCAGGGCACCAGCACCAGGAAAUGCUGACUGGUGUUUGCCACAAAUGCACCACAUCACUUCACCUGCAUUAUUUAAGCUGUGAAUGCCUCAGGCUCUCUGAGGUAGAAGAAUAUAUGUGUGCUGCUUUACCCACAGUUUGGAGGAGCUGCAGGGUUUAAUUGGUGUUACGGAAGCAUUUGUGUAGUGGCAAGAUCAAAACCUGAUGCAGUGUGAGAGCCAAAGUUCAUUUUGAUCGUGUUUGCUGUACAACUCCUGGUACUUCCAAACCAAGGGCUCCCAGAGGAGGCUGCAUUGCAGACUGCUGGUUUUUGUAGCCCAAAUACAGCAGCUCCUUCUGGCUACAGCAUGUCGGUGAGUUAUACAGGUUUGGAUGCAGCUUAACUUCAGAAUGGGCACAAAUGGCCUAAGAGCAAGGCAGUGUCUGCAGGCAGGCAAGGUCAGAUAAGGAAAGAUCAUAGAAUCGCUAAGGUUGGAAAAGACCCACAGGAUCAUCCAGUCCAACCAUUUGCCCAUCACCAAUAGUUCUCGCUAAACCAUGUCCCUCAACACCACAUCCAAACACUCUUUGAACACCACCAGAGUCGGUGACUCCACCACCUCUCUGGGCAGCCCAUUCCAGUGCCUGACCACCCUUUCAGAGAAGUAGUAUUUCCUAACGUCCAGCCUGAACCUUCCCUGGUGCAGCUUGAAGCCAUUCCCUCUAGUCCUAUCACUGUCACACGAGAGAAGAGGCUGACCCCCAGCUCACUACAACCUCCCUUCAGGUAGUUAUAGAGAGCAAUAAGGUCUCCCCUGAGCCUCCUCUUCUCUAGACUGAACAAUCCCAGCUCCUUCAGCCACUCCUCAUAAGGCCUGUGCUCCAGAUGUCAUCCUGUGAGCAGAAUUGCUCCCAUGGGGUCAUCAGACAUCUCCAUGACUGUGCUUCUGCGUGCAAAGGAACUGUAUUUGAAGGAGUUUUCUUACAGUGUCAGCCAAUAGCAUUUUGGAGGGGGGAAAAAAAACACACACACAGACACACACAGAAAGCCCUCCAAAUAAUCUCAAUUCCCACUGUUAACUUUCUGAAACUGCAGGAAGUGGCAUGUGUAUCUCAGGAGGCUCAUGUAUACCUCAGAGACACAUGUAUAUCUCAGGAGACACGUGUACACCUCAGGAGAGACAUACAUAUCCUGUCUGUAUGGCUCCCUUGGUGUCUAUCCCUCUCUAUUCUUUGUCUGUCUCAUUCGCUUCAAUUUAGGGGAGAUCUCUUUAUCCUUGCCAACUCAUUUUCUACAUUAUUUAUCCAUUCCUGACUCCAUUGCAG
ensembl:lncRNA